UACGUAGGUGGCAAGCGUUGUCCGGAAUUACUGGGCGUAAAGGGCUCGUAGGUGGCCAACUAAGUCAGACGUGAAAUCCCUCAGCUUAACUGGGGAACUGCGUCUGAUACUGGAUGGCUUGAGUUUGGGAGAGGGAUGCGGAAUUCCAGGUGUAGCGGUGAAAUGCGUAGAUAUCUGGAGGAACACCGGUGGCGAAGGCGGCAUCCUGGACCAACACUGACACUGAGGAGCGAAAGCCAGGGGAGCAAACGGG
rnacentral:rRNA from 1 species